rnacentral:rRNA from 1 species
GAUGAACGCUGGCGGCGUGCCUAAUACAUGCAAGUCGAGCGAACAGACGUGGUUCUUGUUCCUCUGACGUGAGCGGCGGACGGGUGAGUAACACGUGGAGAACCUACCUAUAAGACUGGGACAACUUCUGGAAACCGGAGCUAAUACCGGAUAAUAUAUUGAACCGCAUGGUUCAAUUGUGAAAGAUGGUUUUGCUGUCACUUAAAUAUGUAUCCGCGCCGCAUUAGCUAGUUGGUAAGGUAAGGGUUUACAAAGACAACGAUACUUAGCCGACCUGAGAGGGGGGUAGGCCACACUGGAACUGAGACACGGUCCAGACUCCUACGGGAGGCAGGCGUAGGGAAUCUUCCGCAAUGGGAGAAAGCCUGACGGCGCAACGCGGGGUGGGUGAUGAGGGUAUUCGGAUGGUAAAACUCUGUUAUUAGGGAAGAACAAAUGUGUAAGUAACAAUGCACGUAUUGACGGUACCUAAUCAGAAAGCCACGGCUAACUACGUG